rnacentral:rRNA from 1 species
CGCUGGCGGCAGGCCUAACACAUGCAAGUCGAGCGGAUGACAGGAGCUUGCUCCUGAAUUCAGCGGCGGACGGGUGAGUAAUGCCUAGGAAUCUGCCUGGUAGUGGGGGACAACGUUUCGAAAGGAACGCUAAUACCGCAUACGUCCUACGGGAGAAAGCAGGGGACCUUCGGGCCUUGCGCUAUCAGAUGAGCCUAGGUCGGGUUAGCUAGUUGGUGAGGUAAUGGCUCACCAAGGCGACGAUCCGUAACUGGUCUGAGAGGAUGAUCAGUCACACUGGAACUGAGACACGGUCCAGACUCCUACGGGAGGCAGCAGUGGGGAAUAUUGGACAAUGGGCGAAAGCCUGAUCCAGCCAUGCCGCGUGUGUGAAGAAGGUCUUCGGAUUGUAAAGCACUUUAAGUUGGGAGGAAGGGUUGUAGAUUAAUACUCUGCAAUUUUGACGUUACCGACAGAAUAAGCACCGGCU